rnacentral:tRNA from 1 species
GUAUCGGUGGUUCCGUGGUAGAUGCUCGCCUGCCACGCGGACGGCCUGGGUUCGAAUCCCGGCCGAUUUU